UACGUAGGGGGCAAGCGUUGUCCGGAAUCAUUGGGCGUAAAGCGCGUGUAGGCGGCCAGAUAAGUCCGCUGUGAAAUCUCGAGGCUCAACUUCGAGCUGUCGGUGGAAACUGUCUGGCUAGAGUCCGGAAGAGGAGAAUGGAAUUCCUGGUGUAGCGGUGAAAUGCGCAGAUAUCAGGAAGAACACCCGUGGCGAAGGCGGUUCUCUGGGUCGGCCCUGACGCUGAGGCGCGAAAGCGUGGGGAGCGAACGGG
rnacentral:rRNA from 1 species